rnacentral:rRNA from 1 species
AUGGGCGCUCGUUGGCCGCCGCCACCCUCCAUCACCACGUCUCGAAGCCAGCGCCGCUGUCGCCAGAGGAAAAGAGCAGGGGAACGCGCAGCCAUCGAUCCCGUGCACCGUCUCUCCCUCUACUUGAGGACUUGCGGCGAAGAAGUCGCCGGAGGCGGAGCUCGACCCGGACGACGACAGCCAGAGGACGUCAAGGCCCCGCCGAGCAGGAGCCUGGCUAGAGGAUACAUGACAAAUGGAUCUGGGGUGAUGGAUUUAACAAUCACUGGAGAUGGAUGCUGCCUUUGUGCAGUACUAGCAAUCAAAUGGAUUUGGGAUAAGGGAUUUGGAAUUGUGAAUGCUUUUCAUCCGCCCGUUUUUGUGAAGGAGGUUUGCAGAAACAACAAUAUUGCAAAGCUUCACCGUCUCUGCAACAUCAAUAUCCCUAAGAUUGAUUUCGAUCUGUUAGAGCUACAUGUUGAAUGGGGUGAUGAGGUCUACAAGGCUGCAGUGAAUUGUUUGGUGGAAAUCAAAGAAUGUGGCAGGCUGGCGGACAGACCAUCAUACCCGAGAUUUGAAAUUACAAGGAGGACAGGAAGGCCACUCCAGUGGAAGUUGAUGGUUAUGAUGGAUCAUUCAAAUAGGUGCACGAUCCAUACAAUGGUUUUCAUGGUCAUUCAAGUCGAGCGCCGAGACACUCGAGGUGAUGAGCUAGAGUUCGGUGCUUCUGCUGGUGCAUACGCAGGGUGUCGUUUGUUAAUUCAGAGACUGACUAAAAGAUUCUUGAAGCUUUACGUGUUGGAUUCUCCAAUCUGCUGCGGCGGCGACAUCGUCAGUUCUUGCUUUCAGGGCACCCUACUGCAAAUACACCUUCUGGAUCAGUCCUCCCAUCUGGGCGCCGCCAUCGUUCUCGCACCGUCGCGCGCUGCGCCGGAGACACGGACGGAGACAAGGACGAGGUCGAGCAGUAUGUGCCUUCAUCCUCUUCACUCGGAGUGUGGGGCCGAGGAUAAGGACAAGGAGAAGAAAUAUGUGGCAUCUUCAUCGUUGUCCUCUUGGCGCGCGGUGCUGGAGAGACAGAAAAGGAGACUGAGAGCUGGAAGUUUGGCAUAUUGUAGUGUUUUGUUUGAUGGGGAAAUAUCUUUGUAUGCCAGCAUAUUUAAUGGUGGUUUGUUUGAUGGGAACUACAUAUUUUGCUUAGAUAAGAACGGGAAAGGGGUCCCCUCAAAAAAAAGAACGGGAAAGGGGCGCAUCCCACCUGGUACCGCCCCAACUCCCUCUCAGGCGGCGCACCAAGGUGCGCCCCAACCACUAGUUUUCACAAAAAGAGAAUCCCCCUGUGACUUCUUUUCGAAAAAGACAAAAUUUUGA